GGUCCAAAUUUGGAUUCGAAGUGGAGUAGAUUAGUAUGGUCAGCUGAUCCUACUAAUCCACUCUGCUUCAAGUUUGUGCUU
rnacentral:pre_miRNA from 1 species